rnacentral:rRNA from 1 species
CUGAUGCGUUGUUGGGUAGGGGAGCGUUCUGUAAGCCUGUGAAGGUGGCCUGUGAGGGUUGCUGGAGGUAUCAGAAGUGCGAAUGCUGACAUAAGUAACGAUAAAGCGGGUGAAAAGCCCGCUCGCCGGAAGACCAAGGGUUCCUGUCCAACGUUAAUCGGGGCAGGGUGAGUCGACCCCUAAGGCGAGGCCGAAAGGCGUAGUCGAUGGGAAACGGGUUAAUAUUCCCGUACUUGGUGUUACUGCGAAGGGGGGACGGAGAAGGCUAUGUUGGCCGGGCGACGGUUGUCCCGGUUUAAGCGUGUAGGUGUGUGUUCCAGGUAAAUCCGGUUCACUUUAACACUGAGGCGUGACGACGAGGCACUACGGUGCUGAAGCAACAAAUGCCCUGCUUCCAGGAAAAGCCUCUAAGCAUCAGGUAACAUCAAAUCGUACCCCAAACCGACACAGGUGGUCAGGUAGAGAAUACCAAGGCGCUUGAGAGAACUCGGGUGAAGGAACUAGGCAAAAUGGUGCCGUAACUUCGGGAGAAGGCACGCUGACAUGUAGGUGAAGUGAUUUACUCAUGGAGCUGAAGUCAGUCGAAGAUACCAGCUGGCUGCAACUGUUUAUUAAAAACACAGCACUGUGCAAACACGAAAGUGGACGUAUACGGUGUGACGCCUGCCCGGUGCCGGAAGGUUAAUUGAUGGGGUCAGCGCAAGCGAAGCUCCUGAUCGAAGCCCCGGUAAACGGCGGCCGUAACUAUAACGGUCCUAAGGUAGCGAAAUUCCUUGUCGGGUAAGUUCCGACCUGCACGAAUGGCGUAAUGAUGGCCAGGCUGUCUCCACCCGAGACUCAGUGAAAUUGAACUCGCUGUGAAGAUGCAGUGUACCCGCGGCAAGACGGAAAGACCCCGUGAACCUUUACUAUAGCUUGACACUGAACAUUGAGCCUUGAUGUGUAGGAUAGGUGGGAGGCUUUGAAGUGUGGACGCCAGUCUGCAUGGAGCCGACCUUGAAAUACCACCCUUUAAUGUUUGAUGUUCUAACGUGGACCCGUGAUCCGGGUUGCGGACAGUGUCUGGUGGGUAGUUUGACUGGGGCGGUCUCCUCCUAAAGAGUAACGGAGGAGCACGAAGGUUGGCUAAUCCUGGUCGGACAUCAGGAGGUUAGUGCAAUGGCAUAAGCCAGCUUGACUGCGAGCGUGACGGCGCGAGCAGGUGCGAAAGCAGGUCAUAGUGAUCCGGUGGUUCUGAAUGGAAGGGCCAUCGCUCAACGGAUAAAAGGUACUCCGGGGAUAACAGGCUGAUACCGCCCAAGAGUUCAUAUCGACGGCGGUGUUUGGCACCUCGAUGUCGGCUCAUCACAUCCUGGGGCUGAAGUAGGUCCCAAGGGUAUGGCUGUUCGCCAUUUAAAGUGGUACGCGAGCUGGGUUUAGAACGUCGUGAGACAGUUCGGUCCCUAUCUGCCGUGGGCGCUGGAGAACUGAGGGGGGCUGCUCCUAGUACGAGAGGACCGGAGUGGACGCAUCACUGGUGUUCGGGUUGUCAUGCCAAUGGCACUGCCCGGUAGCUAAAUGCGGAAGAGAUAAGUGCUGAAAGCAUCUAAGCACGAAACUUGCCCCGA